rnacentral:rRNA from 1 species
UACGUAGGGCGCGAGCGUUGUCCGGAAUUAUUGGGCGUAAAGAGCUCGUAGGCGGCCUGUCGCGUCCGCUGUGAAAACCCGGGGCUUAACCCCGGGCCUGCAGUGGAUACGGGCAGGCUGGAGGCAGGCAGGGGAGAACGGAAUUCCCGGUGUAGCGGUGAAAUGCGCAGAUAUCGGGAAGAACACCCGUGGCGAAGGCGGUUCUCUGGGACGGUACUGACGCUGAGACGCGAAAGCGUGGGGAGCGAACAGG